GCUAACGCUGGGGCAGGAGGCGCGGUAAGACAGAGGGGGAAAGUGGUAGUCGGAAGUGUUGGGCGUAAAGGGCGCGUAGGCGGGUUCUUAAGUCGGAUGUGCAAGCCCCGGGCUCAACCCGGGAACUGCAUCCGAGACUGGGAGGCGAGAGUACUGGAGAGGUUGGUGGAAUUCCUCGUGUAGCGGUGAAAUGCGUAGAGAUGAGGAGGAACACCAGUGGCGAAGGCGGCCAACUGGACAGUAACUGACGCUGAGGCGCGAAAGCGUGGGUAGCAAACAGGAUUAGAUACCCCGGUAGUC
rnacentral:rRNA from 1 species